rnacentral:rRNA from 1 species
UACGUAGGGGGCUAGCGUUGUCCGGAAUCAUUGGGCGUAAAGCGCGUGUAGGCGGUUCGGUAAGUCCGCUGUGAAAGUCGGGGGCUCAACCCUCGAAUGCCGGUGGAUACUGUCGGGCUAGAGUACGGAAGAGGCGAGUGGAAUUCCUGGUGUAGCGGUGAAAUGCGCAGAUAUCGGGAGGAACACCAGUAGCGAAGGCGGCUCGCUGGGCCAUUCCUGACGCUGAGACGCGAAAGCUAGGGGAGCGAACAGG